AGUUGGUGGAGUGAUUUGUCUGGUUAAUUCCGUUAACGAACGAGACCUCAGCCUACUAAAUAGGUCCGGUCAUUAUAAUGGCCGGAGCUUCUUAGAGGGACUAUCGAUGUUUAAUCGAUGGAAGUUUGAGGCAAUAACAGGU
rnacentral:rRNA from 1 species